CAUUCCAGACUGACAUGCCUUGUGACUUACAUAAACCAGACCUCUACAUAGCCUACAUGUCUUCAUUUUGCUGAAGACUGCCCAUCAUCCUAGCCUGUUAUCUGUGAUAAAGCACACUGAAGUUAGGUAUGGAAUGCUCUACACCUCCAUCUCCAUCUCCCACAACCUAGGUAACAGCUUUGAGACUCACUAAAAGUUGAAUCCCAGAACCCCCUGAAUGAUGUAGGCUAUGGGGCCACAUAAGACUUUGUCCAGGGUUACAUAGCACGACAACUUUAAACUAAAAGUAAGGAAUUAAUUAACAUACAUUAACUAAGUUUUAUACAUGUUAUAUCUGAUAUUAAACCACUGUAUGGUGCAAAUUACUGUAUGUAACUUACUCUGCAUAGAGGACUUACUGACAUAAUUAUUUUUUGUACAUUCCAGAAUCCCAGAACCCCCUGAAUGAUGUAGGCUAUGGGGCCACAUAAGACUUUGUCCAGGGUUACAUAGCACGACAACUUUAAACUAAAAAACCAACAUUUUUCACACAACUCCAGGUUGUUACUACACAUUACAAGUGUCAUCAAGGGAUAACUACAAGUAGAAGCACCAUUUUUGGAUGGAAAAACUCCCUUCAGGAAAGUAUACGUAUCAAAUGUAACAUGUAGUAGUGUAACAAAGUAUGAACAGUAAGGUUUUUACAUACAGUAUGUACAUACGUACAUAACUUUUUUUUAUUAGGAAUUUCCAACCAAGUUUGAUUACAUGUUAUAAACCACUGUACGUAUGGUUAUACUGUAUGUAACUUACUAACAUACAUGACUUAACUUAGAUAAUUUUUUGGUACAUUCCAGAAUCCCAGAACCCCCUGAAUGAUGUAGGCUAUGGGGCCACAUAAAACUUUGUCCUGGGUUACAUACAUAGCACGACAACUUUAAACUACUACAGUACUAAAAAAUCCCAGAACCCCCUGAAUGAUGUAGGCUAUGGGGCCACAUAAGACUUUGUCCAGGGUUACAUAGCACGACAACUUUAAACUAAAAAAUCCCAGAACCCCCUGAAUGAUGUAGGCUAUGGGGCCACAUAAAACUUUGUCCAGGGUUACAUAGCACGACAACUUUAAACUAAAAAACUACCAGACUGGGAUUUUAGUGUACUCCAGGAUGUACAUACUACACAUUACCAAAGGAUUACUUCAAGAUUGUGCAUAGUGUAUAGUGUAUAAAUUAACCUAAGGAUUACUUCAAGAAUUUGCAUAGUGUAUUAGUGUAUAUAAACUCAACUAAGGACUUGGUACUUCAAGAAUGUGCAUUUAUAGUGUCACAAGUUUAUUAAUAAAGAUUAUAUAGCUUCAAGAACCAUCCUUUGGCAUUGAAAUAUAACCACACUACACAUCAUGCAAUACUUGCAUGUCACACAGGUAAGGUCUCUGACU